CACUAAGUCUACAGAAGGGACC
rnacentral:miRNA from 1 species